ACCACUGUAAUCAAAUAAAUUUGAAGAUAUUAGAUUCGAUUAUGAGGAUUCCAGCAAGAUUGAUUCGCACUUUAAAGUAUAACACCUCGGAAGAGAAUAUGCUGGCUGAAGAUAUAAAACCAGAUCCAAAGGAUUUGAGAUAAACUGAUAUGAAGAUAGUUUCAAAACUUUGAAAAUUUGACUGCCGAAAAAGAAUUUUAAAUCUCAGUGAAAGAUGAUACAAUUCACUAGCAUGCUACAACUAUCCAAAUAAGAAAAAAAACUAUAAACCUCCAGUGGACGUUGUUUGAUAUUUUUAUCAUCAACUUGGAUAAAUAUAGAAGAUCCGUUGUUAGAACGAGUACCGUCGUUGCAAGCACGAUUAAACUUUACAAAUAAUCUUUAAUCUUUUCUUGAAUAAGCGUUUAUACAAUAUUUUGCGUUGUAAGCUUGUUUCUAAAUAUAUUUUCGUUUGUAGGAAGGACGACAUACACGUAAAUGAACAAAAUGUAAUUAGAGAUUAUUUGUUACGAUUGAUAUUAAGUUUGAUUGAUAUUAAAUACUACGAUAAUAUUACGAUUGAUAUUAAAAAGUUUUGAACGAUAGAUUAUACCAACUGGACAUAUAGUUUCCUUUCACAACAAUAAUUAUGAAAUAUGAUUUACCUGAUGCUGGACAUGGUGGCUGCCGAAUACAUUGAUAAGUCAUCAACGUACCUCUGAUGAGACCAUGCUAAGCUUCCUAAGUCUGAGGAAUAAUCCGUUGGUCCAAAACUAGAAUAUCCAGCUGGAACUGAUGGUGUUUGUAGCGCUACUACUGGUGUGUUCAAUGUGGAUUGUGCAUGGCCACUCUGUAUAUCAGAAACACAAAACAAAAGACCAAUUAGAAUGAAAUAUUGUGUAAUUACAUAAGGGUACUUUUCAAGUAUCUAUAUAUUACUAUCCAUAGUGUGUGAAAUUGCACACAAUUACACGCAGUUAGACUACUAGAUCACUAGGAAAUUGCUAUAAAAUAUCUUACAUUAUAUCUAAUACUAAAAUAUAGUGAUUUUAAAUUUGUGAAUUACACAUCAUAAAAUUAGCAAAAAUUUAGAAUUUGAAUUUUCAUGAUUUCUUUCAAAUGAGAAUUGAAAUCCAAGAUUAAGAAAAAUAAAGAUUUCUAAAAUUUCAUUACAAGAAGUUAAUAACAAAAAAUAUCCAAUGCAAUGAUGAAAAACAUAAAGUAUAUAAAAAUAUUAUUAAAGUAUAACUCAAUUCCCUAAAUUUGAAAUAAAAUUUUUAACUGAAUGCACUGAAUAAAAUGCAUUGAAAUCAAGCACAGUGCGUACUAACAUCGUAACUAGUGUCUUCGGAGAGAGGUUGCGUAAGGGGUGUUGGAAUAACUACUCGAAGAUUAGUCCUGUGAGGAUGAGGCGGCGGUGGAGGAGGCGGAGGUUGUGGUGAAUGCCUAGACGGAUUACUGCCUUUGUUUGCACUGCCUCCUCCGACUCCUAGUGCCGGCGAAGGUCCUGGACUAGGUGAACCUCCUAGUGGUGAUGCCGAUGGUGGAUAACCAUUACUCAUUUCCAACAUCCCUCCUGGUGGAUAUACUAUAGAAAAACAACAAAAUUAAGAUUUACCGUUUUAGUGACUAAUAUAGGAAUUAACUUAUCACAAUUAUUAUUAAUAUGUUGCACUAAUAAAAAUUGCAAAAGUUAAAAUCUUUAUUUGCUAAAUAACUGAAUUACUAAUUAUUUAGAUGCUUCUCUUAAGAAAUUCUUUUCUUUCCAUCACGAAUCUAUUAAUAUCCUUGCAGAUCAAUAUGUAAAGUUUGAGAAUCGAUUACAUACCUGAAUCUGUUUCAGAAGACGACGGUCUUGGAGAAAUGCUGGUAUGCGCCAUUUGGGGACUAGAUCCAAGUAGAGAUUCGCCAUAACUAUUUACUGGUACGGAUACAG